GUCAAUGUGUUUCUCCCUUUCCAGACCAAACGGAAGAGGCUGAGUGGUCACAGAUGGCGAGGCCUCAUUGAGAGAGAGAAAACACAGGAGAGCGAGAAGAAAGGAUGACUGGAAUUCAGACGUCAACACCAGUUUUUCUGAGAUUGCAAGGAAGACACACACUGCUGCACUUCUGGUGACGCUGAAGCCAAACUGAAUUCCAGAUCCUGUGCCGUGUUCCCUCCCAGACUGUUUUCUGAGGUCAGACC